GUGUCCCUGCUGCUGCGUCAUCCUGAUCUGAAGGCCACACCUGGUGUGUGACUGGAUUCUGUAAUAGGGGACGGUACAAAACACAAGGGUCAGUUGGUGUUUUUCUCCUCUGAAGGAAGUGUGGAGCCAGAAGUCUGUUUUGUCACGGGUUAUCUAACCAGACAAGGUUACCUAGGCCAAGGGCCGGCCUCAGCAUGUAGAGCAAAGGGAGAGAGAAAAACAGGGUGCUGUGUUCCCCUUCCUGUUUAUGAACAAGCAUAGAAAGGCUGGACUUGGCCCAGCCACAGCCCACCCUGCAGGUCAGACGCUAGCUCUGGGCACCACGCGGUUUUCGUUCUUUUUUUGUGUGUGUCCUUCCGCCCCCGAGAUAGGAUUUCUUUGUGUGUAGCCCCCAAACCAACAACAGCAACAAUAAAAACCCAAACCAAGUAAUUCUUCAAAACUUCCAAAAUUAGAAACAUAUAGAUCCCAGGCUGGUUCUGUGUGAGCUGAGGCUCGCUGAAUCCAGCCUUUCUACCCUUGUUCAUAAACAGGAAGUAUUUUUCUCUCUGUUUGCUUUCCGAGCUGAGGCCUGACUGUAGCCAGUAAAAUCAAAUACAUAAACGAGAUCCAAUACAGCUAAUAUUUUUUGUUUUGUAAAGGGUGACUCCACAGAGUUUAUAUUGCCUUCAUAUUCAUUCAGGUACUUUAUGUAACAGUGAACCAGGCUUAAGACCUGACACUGAUGAUCUUGGGCGUGGCUUCCUUCCUUCCCGUACACAUUACUGGAGAAUCUCACACUGUUUACAUUAAAGGUACCCGACCUCCUGUAUUGUUAUGGGCUUGACUAGGCCCUUAGCAACUGCUUCCCUGUCAGGCACCCUCAGGAAUCACCCAGUCGACCUCCUGUAUUGUUAUGGGCUUGACUAGGCCCUUAGCAACUGCUUCAAUGUCAGGCACCCUCAGGAAUCACCCAGUCGGUUCACUGAGGUUUCCUAGCAACCCUGGAGAGAAGAUAACUUCAAAUCACACGCAUACACACACACACACACACACACACACACACACACAGAGACAAAGACAGAAACAGAGAGAGACAGAGACAGAAAGACAGAAAGACAGAAAGACAGAAAGACAGAA
rnacentral:lncRNA from 1 species